CAAAUCACAAAGGCACCUAUUGA
rnacentral:siRNA from 1 species